rnacentral:rRNA from 1 species
UUUAUUGGAGAGUUUGAUCCUGGCUCAGGAUGAACGCUGGCGGCGUGCCUAAUACAUGCAAGUCGAGCGAAUGGAUUAAGAGCUUGCUCUUAUGAAGUUAGCGGCGGACGGGUGAGUAACACGUGGGUAACCUGCCCAUAAGACUGGGAUAACUCCGGGAAACCGGGGCUAAUACCGGAUAACAUUUUGAACUGCAUGGUUCGAAAUUGAAAGGCGGCUUUGGCUGUCACUUAUGGAUGGACCCGCGUCGCAUUAGCUAGUUGGUGAGGUAACGGCUCACCAAGGCAACGAUGCGUAGCCGACCUGAGAGGGUGAUCGGCCACACUGGGACUGAGACACGGCCCAGAC